UACGGGGGGAGCAAGCGUUGUUCGGAUUUACUGGGCGUAAAGGGCGCGUAGGCGGCACUGCAAGUCAGUUGUGGAAUCUCCGGGCUUAACCCGGAAAGGUCAACUGAUACUGCAGGGCUAGAGUGCAGAAGGGGCAACUGGAAUUCUCGGUGUAGCGGUGAAAUGCGUAGAUAUCGAGAGGAACACCUGCGGCGAAGGCGGGUUGCUGGGCUGACACUGACGCUGAGGCGCGAAAGCCAGGGGAGCGAACGGG
rnacentral:rRNA from 1 species